UGGGGAAUAUUGCACAAUGGGGGGAACCCUGAUGCAGCGACGCCGCGUGAACGAAGAAGGUAUUCGUAUCGUAAAGUUCUGUCCUAUGGGAAGAUAAUGACAGUACCAUAGAAGAAAGCUCCGGCUAAAUACGUGCCAGCAGCCGCGGUAAUACGUAUGGAGCGAGCGUUGUCCGGAAUUAUUGGGCGUAAAGGGUACGCAGGCGGUUUAAUAAGUCGAAUGUUAAAGAUCGGGGCUCAACCCCGCAAAGCAUUGGAAACUGAUAAACUUGAGUAGUGGAGAGGAAAGUGGAAUUCCUAGUGUAGUGGUGAAAUACGUAGAUAUUAGGAGGAAUACCAGUAGCGAAGGCGACUUUCUGGACACAAACUGACGCUGAGGUACGAAAGCGUGGGGAGCAAACAGG
rnacentral:rRNA from 1 species